UACGUAGGGUGCAAGCGUUGUCCGGAAUUAUUGGGCGUAAAGAGCUCGUAGGCGGUUUGUCGCGUCUGCUGUGAAAACUCGGGGCUUAACUCCGGGCCUGCAGUGGGUACGGGCAGACUAGAGUGCGGUAGGGGAGACUGGAAUUCCUGGUGUAGCGGUGAAAUGCGCAGAUAUCAGGAGGAACACCGGUGGCGAAGGCGGGUCUCUGGGCCGUAACUGACACUCAGGGACGAAAGCUAGGGGAGCGAAUGGG
rnacentral:rRNA from 1 species